GUUUGUAAUUGCUGUAAAAAAUCAUUGAACAUUGAAAUUAAAGUUAUAUAAGGCUUGACGUAAAGAAAUUUCUUUCCAGAAAUCAGUUAUUUGCAGAUUCCUUUAUUAGAUGAAGCUUGAAUGAUUUAGAUGCUGGAGUCAAAGAUGGUCCGAGUCUAAACAGCAAACUGUUUAAUAUAGCUCAAUAGAAUUCAUAGAUGUAAUUGCCGAAAUUUCAAAGCAAAGUAUCUAAGAAGUAUAACCACUCCAAAAGCAAUAUCCAGCGAUGAAGUUGAUAUACAUUUUUUAAUAAUGAAAAAGACACGACCUAAAAGCGUUUGAACUAGAUCUUUUCGAGCAAAAUCAAGGAUAAGAUCUCAAGACAAAAGAAAGAACAAAAGCGGAUGCUUCUAUGCUUGCAACGGAUGAGUAGAUCCGAGAACAUAAUGAGAUUAAUGGUGAAUCAGUUCUUUGACAUAAAAAAAAACAAAAAAAAAAAACUCUUCACUCCGUCAGGCUAAGUGCACCAAUGGCAGCAAAGUCAAUAUUGUUCUUAUGGAUAUACUGGCCGAGAUCACUAUCAUGAUCUUCCUUUAUUAAUUUUGGAGCUAUUUACCAAGACGCUAGUCUUACCAUGCUAUAAAAACCUGAAGAGGUUAUAUCCACUGAAUUUCAAAAAAUGUAAUUAUGUUUUUGCAUGUAAAUCUAAUGUAGUAUUGUACCUGAAAAUAUUGUCCGAAGACUUGGAGUUGUUUCGGCAAAUAGUUUCGAAGAUAUAAACAGAUUUAAAAAACGGCGAUAAGAAACAUUUUCCCAAAACGGACUAAAAAUCUUCAGGGCAUAAUUUUUUUUAUAUAUUUGAUGCAAAUUACACAUUUUUAAGCCACUCUGGAGAGUAAAUAUUUUCAGAAAACCAACUUUUUUUACUUCUCCAAACUUUUUCAAAAUUAUUCGCCGAUGACUAAAGUACAUAAAACUCUGCAAAUUUAC